rnacentral:rRNA from 1 species
CCGAUGACAACUAGGUGUUGGGGAAGCGAUUUCUCAGUACCGCAGCUAACGCGUGAAGUUGUCCGCCUGGGGAGUACGGUCGCAAGAUUAAAACUCAAAGGAAUUGACGGGGACCCGCACAAGCGGUGGAUGAUGUGGAUUAAUUCGAUGCAACGCGAAGAACCUUACCUACCCUUGACAUGUACGGAAGCCCGCUGAGAGGCGGGUGUGCCCGAAAGGGAGCCGUAACACAGGUGCUGCAUGGCUGUCGUCAGCUCGUGUCGUGAGAUGUUGGGUUAAGUCCCGCAACGAGCGCAACCCUUGUCCCUAGUUGCUACGCAAGGGCACUCUAGGGAGACUGCCGGUGACAAACCGGAGGAAGGUGGGGAUGACGUCAAGUCCUCAUGGCCCUUAUGGGUAGGGCCUCACACGUCAUACAAUGGCCGGUACAGAGGGUUGCGAAGCCGCGAGGUGAAGCCAAUCCCAGAAAGCCGGUCGUAGUCCGGAUUGCAGUCUGCAACUCGACUGCAUGAAGUCGGAAUCGCUAGUAAUCGCGGAUCAGCAUGUCGCGGUGAAUACGUUCCCGGGUCUUGUACACACCGCCCGUCACACCAUGGGAGUGGGGUGCACCAGAAGUAGGUAGGCUAACCGCAAGGAGGCCGCUUACCACGGUACGCUUCAUGACUGGGGUG